CUGCCCAGUACACUGAGGCCAGGUGCCAGGACUCAUGGGGCCUGCUGGCUUCCACGACUGCCCGUGGACAGCGAUCCUCCUCUCAGCCUCCCUUCUGACCACAUGGAACCCCCUAGCUGCUGCCCAGUUCACCGACCAUGCUGAGCUGCUUAGCAACACCCAGAUGGAGAGAGGUAUGGUAUCUUGGGCCCUCUGCCCAGAAGCCCCUGAUUCAUGACAGAUUGAGUGAUUUGUGAGCACAGAGAUUGAGAUCUCCAUCAUGUAUCUGUCUUCACAGAGUGUCAUAGUGAGGGCUUCUUUGGCCUGGAUAAAACUAGCUAGCACAAAUAACCCCUUGUUAACUUGACACACAAACCCAUCACUAUUCAACCAGAACCUUUCCUUUUCCAUUUGUCCCCAAGAUAGCAUAUUAAUAGUAAAUCCAACAGUGUAAAGCUCAACAUCAGACUUCUGGUCCUGACCUCCUAGGCUCCAAAGGGCUUGGCACCACACACAUAGCACAUCUCCUGGGCUCAGGCCAGCUCCACCCCACGGUUGUUAGUGAACUUGGCAGUCAUUCCAUGGUACUAGCAUCAGGGGACUCCAGCCCUGCUGCACAGUUGCCAAGGCUCAAGUGCUCUCUACAGUGUCAUCAUGCCUUUGAAACCGGCGCCACCUGGGUGACUCUGACCAAGUCCAGCUGCCAGCGUGAGAUGCAGCCUCAGACCCCUCCAGACAACAGAUCCAGUGUUCUGACCCUAAGGAAACAUCCCAGAAGGCUUUACCUCAACAAUGCUGGUCUCUUUUUAACCACAGCAGAUUCUUCAACCCCAGUUGACCAGUGCCCAUUGUCCCAGCAAAGCAAAGGUUUCUUGUUUGUGGUUCCUAAUUGGAAACAUGGAGUGACCCCGAUAGACUCUCCCCUGGGAGACUUCACCAGUCAGGCGUACAGUGUUCCCUGCUCUCAGAAUCAUCAAAGUUCCUCAAGCAGUUACUAAACUCUGAGCACUCAGUGGCUUUUCUAGCCCAAAGUUCCAGAACUUUCCACAGUUCUCCACCAAAACAUGGACAGGUUCAUCACAGCAAUAUCUGAACACCUGGCACUAAUUUCUAUCUUGGUUAGGCUUUCUAAUGCUGAAAUAGAACACCAUAACCAAAAGAGCCCUAGGGAGUGUCUUAGUCACCAUUCCAUUGCUGUGAAGAGACACCACGACUAACUCUUAUAUUAAAAAUAAAAUAAUAGGGGGUUGGGGAUUUAGCUCAGUGGUAGAGCGCUUGCCUAGCAACCAUAAGGCCCUGGGUUUGGUCCCCAGCUCCGGAAAAAAAAAUAAAGAUUUGUUUGUUUGUUU
rnacentral:lncRNA from 1 species